rnacentral:lncRNA from 1 species
UCAAAAUUCAGGGUUAUCAGAAGUAUUAAGGAGCAAUAUUAACAGUACCUGUAUUUAUAAAAUAGAAAGAUCCCAGAAGCAGCCAGAAAGUUCAAAUGAUAACAGUCUCAGCCUAUUCAAAUCCUUUGUCUGUCUUAAAGGGAGACAUUAAAUGCCUGGUUUAUUUUACCAACUUCAACUGCAGUAGCCAAUACUGUUCAUCAGUUGGAAUGCACUCUUCUAGCAUAUGCCUCCAACUUGGCUAUUUCCAUCGUGACUCCGCA